AACGCUGGCGGCGUGCCUAAUACAUGCAAGUCGAGCGAACGGACGAGAAGCUUGCUUCUCUGAUGUUAGCGGCGGACGGGUGAGUAACACGUGGAUAACCUACCUAUAAGACUGGGAUAACUUCGGGAAACCGGAGCUAAUACCGGAUAAUAUUUUGAACCGCAUGGUUCAAAAGUGAAAGACGGUCUUGCUGUCACUUAUAGAUGGAUCCGCGCUGCAUUAGCUAGUUGGUAAGGUAACGGCUUACCAAGGCAACGAUGCAUAGCCGACCUGAGAGGGUGAUCGGCCACACUGGAACUGAGACACGGUCCAGACUCCUACGGGAGGCAGCAGUAGGGAAUCUUCCGCAAUGGGCGAAAGCCUGACGGAGCAACGCCGCGUGAGUGAUGAAGGUCUUCGGAUCGUAAAACUCUGUUAUUAGGGAAGAACAUAUGUGUAAGUAACUGUGCACAUCUUGACGGUACCUAAUCAGAAAGCCACGGCUAACUACGUG
rnacentral:rRNA from 1 species